rnacentral:rRNA from 1 species
CCUUCGGGGUGAGUGGCAGACGGGUGAGUAACGCGUGGGAACGUGCCCUUCAGUUCGGAAUAACCCAGGGAAACUUGGGCUAAUACCGGAUACGUGCGAGAGCAGAAAGAUUUAUCGCUGAAGGAUCGGCCCGCGUCUGAUUAGCUGGUUGGUGGGGUAAUGGCCCACCAAGGCGACGAUCAGUAGCUGGUCUGAGAGGAUGAUCAGCCACAUUGGGACUGAGACACGGCCCAAACUCCUACGGGAGGCAGCAGUGGGGAAUAUUGGACAAUGGGCGCAAGCCUGAUCCAGCCAUGCCGCGUGAGUGAUGAAGGCCUUAGGGUUGUAAAGCUCUUUCGUCCGGGACGAUAAUGACGGUACCGGAAGAAGAAGCCCCGGCUAACUUCGUGCCAGCAGCCGCGGUAAUACGAAGGGGGCUAGCGUUGUUCGGAAUCACUGGGCGUAAAGGGCGCGUAGGCGGCUUUGUAAGUCGGGGGUGAAAGCCUGUGGCUCAACCACAGAAUUGCCUUCGAUACUGCAUGGCUUGAGACCGGAAGAGGUUAGUGGAACUGCGAGUGUAGAGGUGAAAUUCGUAGAUAUUCGCAAGAACACCAGUGGCGAAGGCGGCUGACUGGUCCGGAUCUGACGCUGAGGCGCGAAAGCGUGGGGAGCAAACAGGAUUAGAUACCCUGGUAGUCCACGCCGUAAACGAUGAAUGCCAGCCGUUGGCGAGCUUGCUCGUCAGUGGCGCAGCUAACGCUUUAAGCAUUCCGCCUGGGGAGUACGGUCGCAAGAUU